CCUACGGGAGGCAGCAGUGAGGAAUAUUGGUCAAUGGGCGAGAGUCUGAACCAGCCAAGUCGCGUGAAGGAUGACUGCCCUAUGGGUUGUAAACUUCUUUUGUCAGGGAAUAAUUUGGUCCACGCGUGGGCUUAGCGAGAGUACCUGAAGAUAAGGCAUCGGCUAACUCCGUGCCAGCAGCCGCGGUAUUACGGAGGAUGCGAGCUUUAUCGGGAUUUAUUGGGUUUAAGGGGUGCGUAGGCGGAAUAUCAAGUCAGCGGGAAAGAUUCGGGGCUAAACCCCGAAGUGCCGUUGAAACUGAUGGUCUUGAGUGGGCGAGAAGUAUGCGGAAUGCGUGGUGUAGCGGUGAAAUGCAUAGAUAUCACGCAGAACUCCGAUUGCGAGGGCAGCAUACCGGCGCCCAACUGACGCUGAAGCACGAAAGCGUGGGUAUCGAACAGGAUUAGAUACCCCUGUAGUC
rnacentral:rRNA from 1 species